ensembl:lncRNA
AUCUCUAUCUGGAGAUCCUUUCUCUCGGAGCCCUUCUGUGAGCCCAGGGCAUGGGAAGAAAAAGCCUUCAUCCUCGUCUCCUUGAUGAAAACCAUCUAUUGACUGAAGCUGAGAAUCAAGUUAAAUAAACAAGAGUCUGUAUUAAGAAGGGAAACAAAUGCUGCUAAGAAUGUAUCAUAAUGUAAACAGAGAGUGUACCUUCACCUUGAAUGCUGUUUGCAAUUCUGUGCACAACAAUUCAAAAAAGAUAAAAUCAGAAAGUCAAUGGGUCUAGAGAAGGGCAAGAAAAAAAUAUCAGAAGAACAGCAAGAUGUCUACAGUAUUCACAGUGAUUAUAAAGGUUCUCCUUUCUGCCUCUCUCCUGGCCAGUGACACCACUAAGAAGUUUGUUAUCCCAUAUCAGUCGUUCCAAAUGCAGGGUUGCUGAAAGCGGCAGAUCGCUUCACUCCAGGGGAAAAUGUUGAAUACCCAGAGACAGUGUAGUAUUUAGCUUUGAUUUUUUACUUCUCCAUGCAAACAAUAGCAGAUUUGGAGGGCCUCCUGUGCACUUGUGUUACAGAAGCUGCCCAAAGAUUUCCUGCCUUCAGCUUGCUUUUUGAUCUGCAUUCAUGCUGCUGAAUUAAAAUUAUUUCUGUUUGCUUCAGUGCCUCAAACAAGAUAGACAUUCCACAGACAAAGGAAUGAGCAGCUGUUCCCUUGAAAUAAUUCAAAAAAACAAAUAGGUACCCUGCUCUCACUGAAGGGCCAAUCUUCAAAUGUAAUUGCGCACUGAUAUAUGAAAGCGGGGAGUGUACUGUUUUUAUCUGUCAAUAUAAUUUAUUUCCAACCACAGCUCUACCUGACCAUUGUUAGAUACACUCAUUGCAUUCUGCACUGUACAGCAGAAAUGGGACGGGGAAGAAUGAAUGGGUGAAUGAAGGUUUACGAAAUCACAGAGGCUGUGAAUAAGAGGAAUCUGGAGCUCUUACUGACACGUGUUUAGGACAGAUAAAAGAAUUUUUUCCCCUACAAAAGAAAUCUUCUAUUAAAGAUUUU